AUGAAGCUGACACAUCCCUGACCAGACCACGUGGAACCCAUGGAAAAUUAGACCUGAAGUUAACAGCACCCACGCCAGUCUCCUGGCUGCUUGGUUAGAGAUUUUCAUCCAUUUUUGAGUUGACAAGAGCAGGGAGACUGGUGUCAGAACCCACUGCUUCUGCUUCACUGUACAUCAGGGUGUGUCUGUGGGUCCCCUGGAUGGUUAAGUUCAUGGAAGUAGGUGUAUUUUAUUCGACUAUGUAUAUCAAACAGGUUUCCUGCUGAGCUAGAGCCAAAGACAAACAGAAAAAUCAUUCUAUUCACAUUUACUGAGUUCCUCCCAGAGGCCAAGGGCCUGACAGGCACAAGGCUCUCUGUGUUUGUAGAACUGGCAUUGAAGGAGGUCAUGGGAAACUGAGAGAGAGAAAGAAGUGACCAGACCAUCUGCCAGGAGCUUCUGGUGAUAAGCUGGCUGGCACGAGGCUGAAUCUUUUUUUUUUUUUUUUAACUUUUUGGCCAUACCGCGGGGCACGUGGGAUCUUAGUUCCUGGACAGGGACCGAACCUGCGCCCCCUACAGUGGAAGGGCAGAGUCUUAACUGCUGGACCGCCAGGGAAGUCCCAAGGCUGGAUCUUGAUUACAUCACUGGUCUCAGAGCUGCAGAACGUUCCAUCAUGUGUGUGGAUAUAUUUAGUAGUAGUUUAUUCAACCAGUUUCCUAUUCAUGGCCACUAGGGUUGUAACUAGUCCUUUGCUGUUACAAGAGUGCAGCAGUGAACACACCUGUGCACGUUUUUCAUAUUUUGCCAGCAUGUCUUCGGGAGAGACUCCUAGGGUACUCCCCUGCUGCGGCCCCAUCCCCACGACUGUUCUGGUGCCCUCAGCUUGGGCAUGGGAUGCUGGAAUGCUAACUCCAGCCUCCACACCUCCUUUCCAUUCGAUUGAUUGGCCAGGCCGGUAGAAACAGCAACAGGAAGGCGGUCUCCCUUCAUUUUUGUCCACCAGUCUCAUACCACAGCAUCUUACUGGGGGGAACGUGAUUCAUAACCAGAACUCUAGCUGGAAAGGAAUCUGAGAAGGGCAGUUUUCCGCUUUCUUGUCUCUACCGCACAGGACAGCUCGAAGAAGUGGGUUGGGUGCCAGUCACCACAUCCAGCUCCCCACUUAACUCCUUUGUUUCACAGAAGAGGAAACUGAGGUUUGGGAGGGGUGUGUUAUUAGCUGAAGAUCACUAAACUGGUUCGUGGCUAACAGCCCGGCCAUUUCCUCCUCACGUCCCUGCCGAUGGGAGUCCUUGUGAGUUGGAGUUUCACUGAAUCAAAUAACUUAAAAAGGCAGAAGCCACUCCAUACGCUAUGAACUUGUACUUUUCUUUGUAAAACAAAACAACCGUUCCCCAAGCCUCCUUUUGGAGGUAUUAUAAUCAUUUAGCAACUGGUAUGGUUUGACUUGUGUCCCCCUAAAUUUAUAUGUGGAAGUCCUAACCCCCAGUUCCUUAGAAUGUGACCAACCAGUUUGGAAACCAGGUCUUUAAAGAGGUAAUUAAGUUAAAAUGAGGUCUUCAGGAUGGGCCCUAGUCCAACACAACUAGUGUCCUUAUAAAAAGAGAUCUGGCCACAGACAGGCAGAGGAAGAUGAUGUGAAGACACAGGGAGAAGGCGGUUGUCUGCAAGGCAAGGAGAGAGGCCUCAGAGGAAACCAACCCUGCCCGCACCUUGACCUUGGACUUCUAGCCUCCAUUAUAGUGAGAAAAUAAAUUUCUGUUGUUUAA